GACGAACGCUGGCGGCGUGCUUAACACAUGCAAGUCGAGCGGUAAGGCCCUUUCGGGGGUACACGAGCGGCGAACGGGUGAGUAACACGUGGGUGACCUGCCCUCAGCUCUGGGAUAAGCCUGGGAAACUGGGUCUAAUACUGGAUAUGACUCCACGGUGCAUGUCGUGGGGUGGAAAGCCUUGUGCGGCUGAGGAUGGGCCUGCGGCCUAUCAGCUUGUUGGUGGGGNGAUGGCCUACCAAGGCGACGACGGGUAGCCGGCCUGAGAGGGCGGACCGGCCACACUGGGACUGAGACACGGCCCAGACUCCUACGGGAGGCAGCAGGUGGGGAAUAUUGCACAAUGGGCGAAAGCCUGAUGCAGCGACGCCGCGUGA
rnacentral:rRNA from 1 species